rnacentral:misc_RNA from 1 species
UCUGCACAUGAUGGUUCCAUGUUUUAUUACUGUUCUGGUUUCCAAGCUGUAUUGCCGGCUGUGGGGAUUUGUUGCAAAGUUAGUGUUUUUGAAUUUGGAAAUUCCACUUUGGCUGGGCACCAUUAUCAUAUUAAGAAAAAGGCGAGGUUAAGUUACAUUAUUAUAAAGCAGAAUAUGAUUUUUAUCAUGAUUUGGUGAACACUCUACAGGUAAUACCAUUCAUUUCAG